AGUGGCGGACGGGUGAGUAAUGUCUGGGAAACUGCCUGAUGGAGGGGGGAUAACUACUGGAAACGGUAGCUAAUACCGCAUAACGUCGCAAGACCAAAGAGGGGGACCUUCGGGCCCCUUGCCAUCGGAUGUGCCCAGAUGGGAUUAGCUAGUAGGUGGGGUAACGGCUCACCUAGGCGACGAUCCCUAGCUGGUCUGAGAGGAUGACCAGCCACACUGGAACUGAGACACGGUCCAGACUCCUACGGGAGGCAGCAUG
rnacentral:rRNA from 1 species